GAUGAAGAACGUAGCGAAAUGCGAUAAGUAAUGUGAAUUGCAGAAUUCAGUGAAUCAUCGAAUCUUUGAACGCACAUUGCGCCCGCCAGUAUUCUGGCGGGCAUUCCUGUUCGAGCGUCAUUUCAACCAUCAAGCCCCCGGCUUGUGUUGGGGACCUGCGGCUGCCGCAGGCCCUGAAAAGCAGUGGCGGGCUCGCUGUCACACCGAGCGUAGUAGCAUACAUCUCGCUCUGGGCGUGCUGCGGGUUCCGGCCGUUAAACCACCUUCAUAACCCAAGGUUGACCUCGGAUCAGGUAGGAAGACCCGCUGAACUUAAGCAUAUCAAUAAGCGGAGGA
rnacentral:misc_RNA from 1 species